CACCGCCCCAACUGCUCUGGGCCUCUAGGUAGCACGGGAAAGUGGAAAGGUGACUCUGGGCCAAAGCAAAGGUGGUGCCAGCAGCCAGGGGAAGGAAGGCCCAUUCUUGCACGAAUCUUCAUGCACCGGACCUCUAGUAAGUAUACAAGUUUUU